CCUACGGGGGGCAGCAGUGGGGAAUAUUGGGCAAUGGGCGCAAGCCUGACCCAGCAACGCCGCGUGAAGGAAGAAGGCUUUCGGGUUGUAAACUUCUUUUGACAGGGAAGAGCAGAAGACGGUACCUGUCGAAUAAGCCACGGCUAACUACGUGCCAGCAGCCGCGGUAAUACGUAGGUGGCAAGCGUUGUCCGGAUUUACUGGGUGUAAAGGGCGUGUAGCCGGGCUGACAAGUCAGAUGUGAAAUCCGGGGGCUCAACCCCCGAACUGCAUUUGAAACUGUUGGUCUUGAGUAUCGGAGAGGCAGGCGGAAUUCCUAGUGUAGCGGUGAAAUGCGUAGAUAUUAGGAGGAACACCAGUGGCGAAGGCGGCCUGCUGGACGACAACUGACGGUGAGGCGCGAAAGCGUGGGGAGCAAACAGGAUUAGAUACCCCGGUA
rnacentral:rRNA from 1 species